rnacentral:rRNA from 1 species
CAUUACACANAUAUGAAGCCGGACUGGGAUAGGGCCUCGCUGCCUUGCCCGUCUGGCGCCAUAUUCACCCAUGUCUUUUUGCGUACUACUUGUUUCCUUGGCGGGUCCGCCCGCCAAUUGGACCUUAUUCAAACCUUUUUUUCAGUUGCAAUCAGCGUCAGCAAAACAAAUGUAAUCAAUUACAACUUUCAACAACGGAUCUCUUGGUUCUGGCAUCGAUGAAGAACGCAGCGAAAUGCGAUAAGUAGUGUGAAUUGCAGAAUUCAGUGAAUCAUCGAAUCUUUGAACGCACAUUGCGCCCUUUGGUAUUCCAAAGGGCAUGCCUGUUCGAGCGUCAUUUGUACCCUCAAGCUUUGCUUGGUGUUGGGCGUCUUGUCUCUCUCCCGAGACUCGCCUUAAAAUCAUUGGCAGCCGGCCUACUGGUUUCGGAGCGCAGCACAUUAUUUGCGCUCUUGUCCAGCCGCGGUCGCGCGUCCAUGAAGCUUCUUUCAACCUUUUGACCUCGGAUCAG